rnacentral:rRNA from 1 species
AGGGCGAACGCUGGCGGCAGGCCUAACACAUGCAAGUCGAACGGACUCUUCGGAGUUAGUGGCGGACGGGUGAGUAACACGUGGGAACGUGCCUUUAGGUUCGGAAUAGCUCCUGGAAACGGGUGGUAAUACCGAAUGUGCCCUUCGGGGGAAAGAUUUAUCGCCUUUAGAGCGGCCCGCGUCUGAUUAGCUUGUUGGUGAGGUAAUGGCUCACCAAGGCUACGAUCAGUAGCUGGUCUGAGAGGAUGACCAGCCACAUUGGGACUGAGACACGGCCCAAACUCCUACGGGAGGCAGCAGUGGGGAAUCUUGCGCAAGUGGGCGAAAGCCUGACGCAGCCAUGCCGCGUGUAUGAUGAAGGCCGUUAGGGUUGUAAAGCUCUUUACCCGGGAUGAUAAUGACAGUACCGGAGAAUAAGCUCCGGACUAACUCCGUGACCAGCGACGCCGAC